rnacentral:rRNA from 1 species
CAUAGGUUAAUGAGGCGAACCGGGGGAACUGAAACAUCUAAGUACCCCGAGGAAAAGAAAUCAACCGAGAUUCCCCCAGUAGCGGCGAGCGAACGGGGAGCAGCCCAGAGCCUGAAUCAGUGUGUGUGUUAGUGGAAGCGUCUGGAAAGGCGCGCGAUACAGGGUGACAGCCCCGUACACAAAAAUGCACAUGCUGUGAGCUCGAUGAGUAGGGCGGGACACGUGGUAUCCUGUCUGAAUAUGGGGGGACCAUCCUCCAAGGCUAAAUACUCCUGACUGACCGAUAGUGAACCAGUACCGUGAGGGAAAGGCGAAAAGAACCCCGGCGAGGGGAGUGAAAAAGAACCUGAAACCGUGUACGUACAAGCAGUGGGAGCACGCUUAGGCGUGUGACUGCGUACCUUUUGUAUAAUGGGUCAGCGACUUAUAUUCUGUAGCAAGGUUAACCGAAUAGGGGAGCCGAAGGGAAACCGAGUCUUAACUGGGCGUUAAGUUGCAGGGUAUAGACCCGAAACCCGGUGAUCUAGCCAUGGGCAGGUUGAAGGUUGGGUAACACUAACUGGAGGACCGAACCGACUAAUGUUGAAAAAUUAGCGGAUGACUUGUGGCUGGGGGUGAAAGGCCAAUCAAACCGGGAGAUAGCUGGUUCUCCCCGAAAGCUAUUUAGGUAGCGCCUCGUGAAUUCAUCUCCGGGGGUAGAGCACUGUUUCGGCAAGGGGGUCAUCCCGACUUACCAACCCGAUGCAAACUGCGAAUACCGGAGAAUGUUAUCACGGGAGACACACGGCGGGUGCUAACGUCCGUCGUGAAGAGGGAAACAACCCAGACCGCCAGCUAAGGUCCCAAAGUCAUGGUUAAGUGGGAAACGAUGUGGGAAGGCCCAGACAGCCAGGAUGUUGGCUUAGAAGCAGCCAUCAUUUAAAGAAAGCGUAAUAGCUCACUGGUCGAGUCGGCCUGCGCGGAAGAUGUAACGGGGCUAAACCAUGCACCGAAGCUGCGGCAGCGACGCUUAUGCGUUGUUGGGUAGGGGAGCGUUCUGUAAGCCUGUGAAGGUGUGCUGUGAGGCAUGCUGGAGGUAUCAGAAGUGCGAAUGCUGACAUAAGUAACGAUAAAGCGGGUGAAAAGCCCGCUCGCCGGAAGACCAAGGGUUCCUGUCCAACGUUAAUCGGGGCAGGGUGAGUCGACCCCUAAGGCGAGGCCGAAAGGCGUAGUCGAUGGGAAACAGGUUAAUAUUCCUGUACUUGGUGUUACUGCGAAGGGGGGACGGAGAAGGCUAUGUUGGCCGGGCGACGGUUGUCCCGGUUUAAGCGUGUAGGCUGGUUUUCCAGGCAAAUCCGGAAAAUCAAGGCUGAGGCGUGAUGACGAGGCACUACGGUGCUGAAGCAACAAAUGCCCUGCUUCCAGGAAAAGCCUCUAAGCAUCAGGUAACAUCAAAUCGUACCCCAAACCGACACAGGUGGUCAGGUAGAGAAUACCAAGGCGCUUGAGAGAACUCGGGUGAAGGAACUAGGCAAAAUGGUGCCGUAACUUCGGGAGAA